CGUGAGAUGUUGGGUUAAGUCCCGCAACGAGCGCAACCCUCGCCCUUAGUUGCCAGCAUUCAGUUGGGCACUCUAAGGGGACUGCCGGUGAUAAGCCGAGAGGAAGGUGGGGAUGACGUCAAGUCCUCAUGGCCCUUACGGGCUGGGCUACACACGUGCUACAAUGGUGGUGACAGUGAGCAGCGAGACCGCGAGGUCGAGCUAAUCUUCAAAAGCCAUCUCAGUUCGGAUUGCACUCUGCAACUCGAGUGCA
rnacentral:rRNA from 1 species